UGGAACCUACAAGUAUGCCAUGUUACC
rnacentral:piRNA from 1 species